rnacentral:lncRNA from 1 species
GCUGACUUUUAUCAUAUAUCCAAAGUCCAGCCCCUGCAUCUGGUCCAGCCACUGCCCAGGAUAGUGUGGUGACCGUCUGGAGUUUCUGAUUUAUUUGAGAGGCAGAGUGACACAGAGAGAGAGAGAACCUUCCAUCUCUGGUUCACUCCCCAAACGACCAGGCCAGCAGGCAGGAGCGCCAUCCAGGUCUCCCACGCGGGUGGCAGGGGCCCAAACACUCUAACCAGUGGUUGCAUGAGAAGCCGCUGCUGCAGGCAGCAGCUUAGCCCGUCUUCGCGCCACAAUGCUGGCCCUGACCGUCACUAAUUUGAAUCCAGAGGAAUGUGAUCUCUGCCCCCGUAGAUGCAUGAGUCCGUUUGGGGGCUUUCUGGUUUUUUUUUUUUUUUUUUUUUUUUUCUGUUCAUCUUCUCUCGGAAUCUUGCGCAAACACCACCCUCUCUCCGCUCCGAGGGCUGACUCCUGACUUCUGCCUGCACAGGCCGGCUGUCGUCUGCCCUUGAAUGGAUCCCGUCUUUUCUCCCUGCCUAUGAGUUUGCCAGGAUUGCUGUCGCUGGGACGAAGCAUUGCAGCUCACACGGUGGAUGUCACCAUCCAGUGGGUUCUGAAGCCGGCAAGUCCAAGACAGAGGCGUGAGCGGGGCGGGCUCCUGCCGAGAGCUGCGAGGGCAAGCCUACCCCAAUUCCCAGUGACUUCGGCAUCCCCCAGACCAGUGGCCGAGUCCCAGCCCGACUUUUACUGGACUACGCAGAAAUUGCUUGAAAUUGAGUACACACAACAGCAGCUCCUGCAGAGACGCCCGCCAGCGGCUGAGCCCGCCCGCGGCUGAACCCCGGGAGCGCUGGUGGCGGGCGGAGUUUGCGGAGGUGACUGGGGAUCUCCAGGCGGACUGUCACGGUGGACCAGCCAGACGGGACCAGGGAGAUGGGAGGCCUGAGUCUAGUCAGAUGCUCAGGGCUGGCAGCCUCCGGGCGCUGGGCGUCCUCUGCAGCUGCAGACGGCGCUGCUGACCUGCGCCGCUGACCCAAGGAGCCCGUUCUGCACUUCUAGAACUUCCGCGCAUAACCGUGUUGCUCCAAGCCACAGAUGCAAGCCACUGCCGUGGGAUUACCGCGGGCUGGGAAGAGCGCGUGGAAGAGUGGAAUUAAAAGCUUACUUUGGGGGCCAGCGCUGCGGUGGGCUAAGCCUCUGCCUGCAUCCUAUAUGGGCGCUGGUUCGAGUCCCGGCUGCUCCACUUCCCAUCCAGCUCCCUGCUGUGGCCUGGGAAAGCAGUGGAGGAUGGACCAAGUGCUUGGGCCCCUGCACCUGCAUGGGAGACCCAGAGGAAGCUCCUGGAUUCGGAUCAGCGCAGCUCUGGCCGUUGGGGCCAUUUAGGGUGUGAACCAGAGGAUGGAAGACCUCUCUGUGUCUCCCUCUCUGUCUGUAAUUCUACCUCUCAAAUAAAUAAGUACAAUCUUAAAUCCA